CGAGGGGCAGCGGGGUAGUGCUUGCACUACUGCCGGCGACCGGCGCACGGGUGAGUAACACGUAUGGAACCUGCCCGCAGCAGGGGGAUAAGCGGAAGAAAUUCCGUCUAAUACCGCGUAACAACGUUGGGAGGCAUCUCCCGAUGUUUAAAGAUUUAUCGGCUGCGGAUGGCCAUGCGGCGCAUUAGCUAGUCGGCGGGGUAACGGCCCACCGAGGCGACGAUGCGUAGGGGUUCUGAGAGGAAGGUCCCCCACACUGGUACUGAGACACGGACCAGACUCCUACGGGAGGCAGCAGUGAGGAAUAUUGGUCAAUGGCCGAGAGGCUGAACCAGCCAAGUCGCGUGAGGGAAGACGGCCCUACGGGUUGUAAACCUCUUUUGUCGGGGAGCAAAGCGAACCACGUGUGGUUCAUUGAGAGUACCCGAAGAAAAAGCAUCGGCUAACUCCGUGCCAGCAGCCGCGGUAAUACGGAGGAUGCGAGCGUUAUCCGGAUUUAUUGGGUUUAAAGGGUGCGCAGGCGGAGGUGCAAGUCAGCGGUCAAAUUGCGGGGCUCAACCCCGUACUGCCGUUGAAACUGCAUCCCUUGAGUGCGCGAGAAGUAUGCGGAAUGCGUGGUGUAGCGGUGAAAUGCAUAGAUAUCACGAGAAACUCCCAUUGCGAAGGGCACCUAACCAGUGCGCAACUGAACCCUCAUGCACAAAAAACGUGGGGUAUCCCUUAAAGUANNUNCCNUNNUNNUCCNCNCANUNNACGACCCUCUUAUGGUGUUCGGCCAGAAUGAUGGCUGAGUGGUACAGCGAAAGCGUUAAGUGUUCCACCUGGGGAGUACGCCGGCAACGGUGAAACUCAAAGGAAUUGACGGGGGCCCGCACAAGCGGAGGAACAUGUGGUUUAAUUCGAUGAUACGCGAGGAACCUUACCCGGGCUCAAACGACACAGGAAUACUUUUGAAAGGAGGUAGCCCUACGGGGUCUGUGUCGAGGUGCUGCAUGGUUGUCGUCAGCUCGUGCCGUGAGGUGUCGGCUUAAGUGCCAUAACGAGCGCAACCCCUAUCGCCAGUUACCAUCAAGUAAAGUUGGGGACUCUGGCGAGACUGCCGGCGCAAGCUGAGAGGAAGGCGGGGAUGACGUCAAAUCAGCACGGCCCUUACGUCCGGGGCGACACACGUGUUACAAUGGCAGGUACAGAGAGAAGCCAGGUGGUGACACCGAGCGGAACUCGAAAGCCUGUCUCAGUUCGGAUCGGAGUCUGCAACCCGACUCCGUGAAGCUGGAUUCGCUAGUAAUCGCGCAUCAGCC
rnacentral:rRNA from 1 species